UGCAAGUCGAGCGGACCGACGGGAGCUUGCUCCCUUAGGUCAGCGGCGGACGGGUGAGUAACACGUGGGUAACCUGCCUGUAAGACUGGGAUAACUCCGGGAAACCGGGGCUAAUACCGGAUGCUUGAUUGAACCGCAUGGUUCAAUCAUAAAAGGUGGCUUUUAGCUACCACUUACAGAUGGACCCGCGGCGCAUUAGCUAGUUGGUGAGGUAACGGCUCACCAAGGCGACGAUGCGUAGCCGACCUGAGAGGGUGAUCGGCCACACUGGGACUGAGACACGGCCCAGACUCCUACGGGAGGCAGCAGUAGGGAAUCUUCCGCAAUGGACGAAAGUCUGACGGAGCAACGCCGCGUGAGUGAUGAAGGUUUUCGGAUCGUAAAACUCUGUUGUUAGGGAAGAACAAGUACCGUUCGAAUAGGGCGGUACCUUGACGGUACCUAACCAGAAAGCCACGGCUAACUACGUGCCAGCAGCCGCGGUAAUACGUAGGUGGCAAGCGUUGUCCGGAAUUAUUGGGCGUAAAGCGCGCGCAGGCGGUUUCUUAAGUCUGAUGUGAAAGCCCCCGGCUCAACCGGGGAGGGUCAUUGGAAACUGGGGAACUUGAGUGCAGAAGAGGAGAGUGGAAUUCCACGUGUAGCGGUGAAAUGCGUAGAGAUGUGGAGGAACACCAGUGGCGAAGGCGACUCUCUGGUCUGUAACUGACGCUGAGGCGCGAAAGCGUGGGGAGCGAACAGGAUUAGAUACCCUGGUAGUCCACGCCGUAAACGAUGAGUGCUAAGUGUUAGAGGGUUUCCGCCCUUUAGUGCUGCAGCAAACGCAUUAAGCACUCCGCCUGGGGAGUACGGUCGCAAGACUGAAACUCAAAGGAAUUGACGGGGGCCCGCACAAGCGGUGGAGCAUGUGGUUUAAUUCGAAGCAACGCGAAGAACCUUACCAGGUCUUGACAUCCUCUGACAACCCUAGAGAUAGGGCUUCCCCUUCGGGGGCAGAGUGACAGGUGGUGCAUGGUUGUCGUCAGCUCGUGUCGUGAGAUGUUGGGUUAAGUCCCGCAACGAGCGCAACCCUUGAUCUUAGUUGCCAGCAUUCAGUUGGGCACUCUAAGGUGACUGCCGGUGACAAACCGGAGGAAGGUGGGGAUGACGUCAAAUCAUCAUGCCCCUUAUGACCUGGGCUACCCACGUGCUACAAUGGGCA
rnacentral:rRNA from 1 species